rnacentral:lncRNA from 1 species
GGCGUCUAGUACAUGUUGAGGAGAGGAGGCCUGGCAGUGGAGUCUUUCGCGGCGGCGGAAGUAAGUAUAAAUUUUGAUUUCCUCAUGACCGUGGUUUGGCAGAUAUAUUUUACCAACGAUCUUUGUGCCAACUGCUGCUGUUCGUAGGGUAUGUCUUGUUCUGUACUAACCUAUGCUCGACACAUUGAAUGAGGUUUCUGUAACCUCAUUAUUUGGGGACAGUACUAUGGUCUUUGAUGUUAUCCAGUGCAAUUUAAUUUCUCCACUGUCAAGUACCCUAAGAACAUGACUACUCCCUCCGUUCCUAAAUAUUUGUCUUUUUAGAGAUUUCAAAUGGACUACACAUACGGAUGUAUAUAGACAUAUUUUAGACAGUAUUAUGGUCUUUCAUGUUAUACAGUGCAAUUUAAUUUCUCCACUGUCAAGUACCCUAAGAACAUGACUACAUGAUAAAAAUGCAUCAUAAUCCUUAAACUGCCAAAAUGUCUUACAUUUGUUUACAGAGGGAGUACUUUCAAAGAAACGCGAAAACUACCUCUGUAUUGUACAGUAUUUGAUCAAAAUCGAGUUUAAUAAACAAGCCUUGUUUAUUUUUGUAACUUGCUCACUUUGCAGGGCGAGGGCGGGGAAGGGGUCAAUAUGGUGGGCGCUACGACGGGGAUUACGCUGCACGGUCAAAGGGAAAUGGUUACCAAAGGAGGGGCGGGCACCAAUACGACGGCUACGACUAAUCUCACAUUUGGUCUGCUGGCGAAUGGUCGCAUCCCAUUUGGUGCUCUCGAUCUGGUGCGGCCUGGCCAUAUUUUUGUCACAACAAAGCGCGAUUACCUGGAGAACUUGCGUUUUGUGUAGCUGCUAUCGAGAAUGACUCGUUUCUAGAUGGGACUCUUUUAGUGUUUUUGCUACAUGAUCGUGUCGCCUAUCUGGUAUGAACUAAAACAUGGGGAAAAAUGGAUCAGUGUUAGUUGAUCCUUGGCCAUUUGAGAACACUGUCAAGAGUAUUCCGAUUGUC